GAGCUGCUGGCCGCCUUCGAACUUACACGCAGGGAAAAGCCAUCGGUUCACCAUAUUCCUGGUCAAGAGGGAGACAUCAUAACCUCCACUCAUGUUCUGGAUGAGCCGGACGAGUCAGACCUCCCGUAUCCCCCUCCUCAGAGAGAACCCAACGUCUUCAUGGUUCCUCAGGGAAUCAAACCUGUUCUGCAGAGAACCGCUAUCGAG